rfam:Diplodia seriata DS_831_scaffold_v01_86, whole genome shotgun sequence.
GUUGAGCCCGACCAGACACAACAUUCUGCAGCAAUGUUGUGCGACCUGCAGUGUCGGUCGGCCAGCAGCUUAGC